AGACCCGAAACCCGGUGAUCUAGCCAUGGGCAGGUUGAAGGUUGGGUAACACUAACUGGAGGACCGAACCGACUAAUGUUGAAAAAUUAGCGGAUGACCUGUGGCUGGGGGUGAAAGGCCAAUCAAACCGGGAGAUAGCUGGUUCUCCCCGAAAGCUAUUUAGGUAGCGCCUCGUGAAUUCAUCUCCGGGGGUAGAGCACUGUUUCGGCUAGGGGGCCAUCCCGGCUUACCAACCCGAUGCAAACUGCGAAUACCGGAGAAUGUUAUCACGGGAGACACACGGCGGGUGCUAACGUCCGUCGUGAAGAGGGAAACAACCCAGACCGCCAGCUAAGGUCCCAAAGUCAUGGUUAAGUGGGAAACGAUGUGGGAAGGCCCAGACAGCCAGGAUGUUGGCUUAGAAGCAGCCAUCAUUUAAAGAAAGCGUAAUAGCUCACUGGUCGAGUCGGCCUGCGCGGAAGAUGUAACGGGGCUAAACCAUGCACCGAAGCUGCGGCAGCGACACUGUGUGUUGUUGGGUAGGGGAGCGUUCUGUAAGCCUGUGAAGGUGGCCUGUGAGGGUUGCUGGAGGUAUCAGAAGUGCGAAUGCUGACAUAAGUAACGAUAAAGCGGGUGAAAAGCCCGCUCGCCGGAAGACCAAGGGUUCCUGUCCAACGUUAAUCGGGGCAGGGUGAGUCGACCCCUAAGGCGAGGCCGAAAGGCGUAGUCGAUGGGAAACAGGUUAAUAUUCCUGUACUUGGUGUUACUGCGAAGGGGGGACGGAGAAGGCUAUGUUGGCCGGGCGACGGUUGUCCCGGUUUAAGCGUGUAGGCUGGUUUUCCAGGCAAAUCCGGAAAAUCAAGGCUGAGGCGUGAUGACGAGGCACUACGGUGCUGAAGCAACAAAUGCCCUGCUUCCAGGAAAAGCCUCUAAGCAUCAGGUAACAUCAAAUCGUACCCCAAACCGACACAGGUGGUCAGGUAGAGAAUACCAAGGCGCUUGAGAGAACUCGGGUGAAGGAACUAGGCAAAAUGGUGCCGUAACUUCGGGAGAAGGCACGCUGACACGUAGGUGAAGUGAUUUACUCAUGGAGCUGAAGUCAGUCGAAGAUACCAGCUGGCUGCAACUGUUUAUUAAAAACACAGCACUGUGCAAACACGAAAGUGGACGUAUACGGUGUGACGCCUGCCCGGUGCCGGAAGGUUAAUUGAUGGGGUCAGCGCAAGCGAAGCUCCUGAUCGAAGCCCCGGUAAACGGCGGCCGUAACUAUAACGGUCCUAAGGUAGCGAAAUUCCUUGUCGGGUAAGUUCCGACCUGCACGAAUGGCGUAAUGAUGGCCAGGCUGUCUCCACCCGAGACUCAGUGAAAUUGAACUCGCUGUGAAGAUGCAGUGUACCCGCGGCAAGACGGAAAGACCCCGUGAACCUUUACUAUAGCUUGACACUGAACAUUGAGCCUUGAUGUGUAGGAUAGGUGGGAGGCUUUGAAGUGUGGACGCCAGUCUGCAUGGAGCCGACCUUGAAAUACCACCCUUUAAUGUUUGAUGUUCUAACGUGGACCCGUAAUCCGGGUUGCGGACAGUGUCUGGUGGGUAGUUUGACUGGGGCGGUCUCCUCCUAAAGAGUAACGGAGGAGCACGAAGGUUGGCUAAUCCUGGUCGGACAUCAGGAGGUUAGUGCAAUGGCAUAAGCCAGCUUGACUGCGAGCGUGACGGCGCGAGCAGGUGCGAAAGCAGGUCAUAGUGAUCCGGUGGUUCUGAAUGGAAGGGCCAUCGCUCAACGGAUAAAAGGUACUCCGGGGAUAACAGGCUGAUACCGCCCAAGAGUUCAUAUCGACGGCGGUGUUUGGCACCUCGAUGUCGGCUCAUCACAUCCUGGGGCUGAAGUAGGUCCCAAGGGUAUGGCUGUUCGCCAUUUAAAGUGGUACGCGAGCUGGGUUUAGAACGUCGUGAGACAGUUCGGUCCCUAUCUGCCGUGGGCGCUGGAGAACUGAGGGGGGCUGCUCCUAGUACGAGAGGACCGGAGUGGACGCAUCACUGGUGUUCGGGUUGUCAUGCCAAUGGCACUGCCCGGUAGCUAAAUGCGGAAGAGAUAAGUGCUGAAAGCAUCUAAGCACGAAACUUGCCCCGA
rnacentral:rRNA from 1 species